rnacentral:lncRNA from 1 species
GAAAACUACUGUUAAUCACAAUUUUUCUUUUGCAAUACAUUAAAUACCACUGCAAUAAAUAGGAAUCAGUAUAUACAUUAAAGAUGUAAUUGUUCGAUAAAUUACUAGAGCCUUAUAAUCGUAUUGGACGUUGUUGUGUAUUUAUACAUUCUAAAUAGCUAAUCUCCUAUGGGUAAGAGUAGUUGUUUGAGAACACUACAUUCCAUUACACGGCUGCAGUCACCAGUGUCUGAGCAGAAAGUUUAUGAACUAGGGGU